rnacentral:lncRNA from 1 species
CAUUCCAUGCCAGAUGGGCUUCUGCCUGCCUUGCCCUCCUCCUUCGCUCCCCCAUAGAUUCUCCCUCUUCUAAGAGAGAGUGCUCAGCCAGGCUGGCAGCACAGUUCCAGUCAACAGGAACUGCCCAUCUGCUGUGACUAAGGUAUGUAACAUUGGAGACAUAGGCUGAGAAAGGCACAGCAUCUGCUCUUGGAUCGUGGGGAUGACUGACACAUGAACAGACGGAUCUUGUGUGAAAUGUGCAAGAAAAGCAAAGACAUGAGGAGCAAAAAAGACAGAGGUAGGGCUAGCUCUUCGGGUCUGUAGGUAUUCAGAGAGAUUUUCAAGGUGGGGACAGAGUUCUGAAGCAUGAUCAAGCAGGCUGGAUGCCCCAGGGGAGUGGGGAAUCCCAGAGAAGGCUGGAAGUGCAGGGCACUGAGGCUGGAGAGAUAACUCCAUAGUUCAGGGCUGUGGAGAGAGAGAUACCAGGCAUAGGAGGGGAAGAUAAAAACAGCGGUCAGAUUCUGUAGGCCAGUCCUGGAAGGUCUUGGGUCACUCCUUGUAUCUGACAGGAGCCAGCAAGUACUAGCACAGGAGGGCCCUGCUAGACAAGCUGAUGGGUGGGAGGAUGGACUGGGAGGAGCAGGGCUAGAGGCAGAGAAACCCAUGGAGGUAGGGCGACACUCGGGAGGGUGAGAAUGGCAUCGUCCCGCUUAAGGUCUCAGAGGUGGGGUCAUUAGGAACUAGAAGCUCUUGGGGUCGAGGGAGAGGCCUGGGCUAUACCUGGUUCUUUUUCACACUCUGGAGGGUGGACUGGAGAUACCAGCAGCAUGCUUUCAGAGCUCUAAGCAUGUGAAUCUGCCUCACGAGCUUCAUGUGGGAGCGGCGUGCACCCAUUCUCUUGCGGUACAGACUUUAUAAUUACGGUAUCAGGCAAGUCAGUGAUUGGAGAGGGCAGCUUUUCUCCCAUGCCAGCCCAGUGACUCACAUGGGAGAGAAGGGACGAGGGGAACAGGACCAGCUUGGGCUUAGGGCCUGCUCAUGGGCUCCUGGGCUCACCAGGACAUGGAAGUUGAUCCUUUGACAGUGUUCCUGGC